CUUUUUAUAAAAUCAACCAACAGAAGGGGAAGGGGAAACGCUUCACUGAGGAGGUUGUCAUAUGGUACCUGUACCAAGUUACCUCUGCAGUGGCUCACAUUCAUAAGGGAUUUCAAGACGCUGAAUAUCUUCCUAACUAAAACAAACCUUGUAAAGUUGUGUGAUAACAUUAGGAGGACCUGAUGUACAUGUUUGGUUCUGACUGCUAUGGCUGUAUUGGAGUGGAGAACGAGCAGGGCAUGUAGGUGCUAGAGCCUGUGCUGUUGGAAUUCUUUGAGGUGUGGCCUGUCAGGCAGGUGUCCUGUGCAGACAACCAUGUGGUGGUGCUGACCCACAGGGGAGACAUCUACUCCUGGGGCUGUGGAGAGCCCGGUAUGUACCAGAACAGUGUAUACUGAGCUACACAGCAGUACUGUAUGUCUACCACCAUGCCUCCCUCAAGCUCCAUAUCCGUUGUCCCACCUUAUCUUGCCAGUAGAUGGAGCUACGAUGAGGUACAUAAUUCAUUUAUGAAGUUGGCCUUUUCCUCAGUCUUGGCCAGGACUGUGAGGAUGACUUUAACUCCCUCAUGCAAGUAAGAUCCUGCCCUCUAGUUUCCAGCAGAGAGCUUGAACAUAUCAUUUAAUUCUGCUCAUGGGGAAAGGGGCAAUGACGUCUCAAUUUCAUCAUCCAGACAAAUUAAUGAAAAUGUGUUUGAAUGCACCAUUUAAAUCGAUAGGAAGCUUAAUGUUGUGUAUCGUCUGGCGUUCACAGGUGGAGAUUCCCAAAUGAGCCAGUAUCUCAUCUGUGGCCUUGAUGGAACCUUCUGGCAAAGGCCUGGCCUGUGGGAACAACAAUCAACCUUAAACCUUCCUGGAGAGGUACAGCAUCACAUUCAACAUACUAGGAUCCACUCACAGCCUCUUCUCAUUGCUUUAAAAUAAGGAAUAAUGCAAUUAAUGAUGGAGAUUUAAGUUUUCUUCCUUCAAUAUCAGGCCUACCAGAGGAUACCAUACACCAUUACACUCACUUUGGUCAAGCAGAUGGCCAGGUAUAAGAUGCAAGUAAUUUCUGCUGUGAAGACCCACACUGCUGCCAUCAACUGUACUGCUGCCAUCAACUGUACAGCUACCAGACUCUGCUCUCUUUUUUUCUGAUCCCCAAUUGAAAGUAUGUAGAAUUUUAUAUCAAGACAUGGUUCUGACUGAACUCUGACCUUGCAGGCUGAUGACCUUUGGCUGCAAAAAAAUAUGGUCAGCUUGGUGUGAAGGACUUCAAGAAGCACCAGGGCAUCCAGCUCUUGUUGGGGUCUUUUGGGGGAGGGGAGGUGGUCAGCAAAGUGUCCUGCGGACACCAUCGCAGCCACAGAGGGUCAGAAAAACAACUAAACUUCAACAUUUGUUCAACAUUUGUUGCAGCAUGUUGUUGAAUAUGCUGUUUAAUGUGUGUAUGCAGCUUAGAGUUGUGGUGCUUGUUUUUUUUCUUUGCUUUAUUCUGUUAGCAGGGAGUCCUCUGCUCUGAGCUACAAAAGUAGGACUCAAUCUAAUGGAGAGUACCGGUAGAUUCCCUGUUUAGGUUCUGGAAGGAUAUUGGCUAAUCUCUUAUCCUUUCAGACAGAUCUUUUCCUGGGGAAAAGCAGGGAACAGAUGCCUGGGAAUGCUUUACCACAACCCAUUUUAGGCUCCCUCCACCAUGUGCCAUACCACUCCUGUCACGGCUGGCACACCAUUCUCAUCAUGGAAAAGGUUCUCAACUCUAAAACUAUCUGCUCAAUCAGCAGUGGACUUUUAAUUGGCAAUGACCGCUCAUAUGGGCUGUGAAGGGGUCAACGGGUUGGAGGAGGCAGGAGCCUGUAGAAGGGGAGGCACCAACUUGCUCCAGAGCAAGUAAUGAGGUAGCAGAGUUUCGAGAGACAGUCAAUCACGAAGAGGCACCGAUCCAGUUGUUACAGAAGCAGUUCAGUGACCAGCUCAAAGAGAACGAGAGACUCUGAUCAGCAAUCAACCAUCUGACCCUGCGCAAAGCAGGAACUGAAAAGAACAGCAACCACCAAUCCGAUCACAGGCCUGUGGCAGGACAGGGAGGAGCCUCAAACCAUGAUGGGGACAGAUCUGCUGGGGCAAAUCCGCGAGCAAAAACUGUCCUAUCCUAUAUGCAAUGAGUUGCGGUGACCCUGUGCAAAAAUAGUAUUAUAUUUGAGAUUCUCCAAAGUAGCCACCCUUUGCCUUAAUGACAACUUUGCACACUUUAUACACCUGUCAGCACUGGGUGUAGCUGAAAUAGCCAAAUCCACUCAUUUGAAGGGGUGUACACAUACACUAUAUAUACACACAAAAGUAUGUUCCAAUGUGAAUUUCAAGUACUUAUUUUUUGUUAAUUUAAUUUCAAAAGCCCUGAGCCCUGUUCUUCAUAUGUGAUGCUGUAAAACUAAAAGCCUAAAUACUAUUUCAAAUAGCCAAAUGUAUACCAAAUAUUGUCCCUCUUACAUCUAAUUUACCAAAGAAGUAUUUAGUGUUAACAUUGAAGUAUUUACAAUCUUGUGUAUUUCAUAUGAUGAUCAGCUUGCUAUUCUGUAUCUGGAAGAAAUGGUGUAUGAGGUUCACUUUUACAUAACUCAAACUACUGAUACAAUAUAGACAUUCAUUUAUUUUUAUUGCCUUAAGAUGAUAACCUUGAAUUUGUUUUAACUAGUAUUUAAGUGGAGUAAAUUGUCAUUUUAUGGUUAAUCUUCCUUCUGUAAAAGGUGAUGUCAUCGGUAGUUCUCUUCCUAGAAUGUAGAAAAGCUUGUUUUCGUAAAGUUAAUGGUAAUAUUUGUUUUUUUCUAUUAAAUGUUUUCUCAACUGUU